rnacentral:misc_RNA from 1 species
UUGCAAGUAGCUCGGCGUCGUGGUUUGGGAGAAGAACAGUAAGAGAAGAUGUUGGAGGUGGUGUUGAACGAUCGCUUAGGGAAGAAGGUGAGAGUUAAGUGCAACGAUGAUGACACCAUCGGCGACCUUAAGAAACUCGUAGCUGCGCAGACCGGUACCCGAGCCGAGAAGAUCCGAAUCCAGAAGUGGUACACUGUUUACAAAGAUCAUAUCACUCUCAAGGACUACGAGAUUCAUGACGGAAUGGGUCUCGAGCUCUACUACAAUUAACUUACAAAGU